rnacentral:rRNA from 1 species
UACGUAGGGUGCAAGCGUUAAUCGGAAUUACUGGGCGUAAAGGGUUCGUAGGUGGCCAACUAAGUCAGACGUGAAAUCCCUCAGCUUAACUGGGGAACUGCGUCUGAUACUGGUGUGGCUUGAGUGCAGGAGAGGAACGCGGAAUUCCAGGUGUAGCGGUGAAAUGCGUAGAUAUCUGGAGGAACACCGGUGGCGAAGGCGACGUCCUGGACCGGCAUUGACGCUGAGGCGCGAAAGCCAGGGGAGCAAACGGG